AUAAGUUUGAAUGCUAGAGUAUUCAAGGUGAGCAUAGUAGUUUGGCAUUCAAAUAAUUAUCUCUGUAUAAACAAUAUUAUGUCUCAUUUGAAGUAAAUUAGUGAUUUUAACUGAAGGAAAAAUUGUCAAAGUAAGUUAGAAUUUUUUGCUAUAUUUUAUUUAUUCAAAAGUCAGUUGCUAUUUAAUUUGAAUUUGGUAAUUAACACUGUCCAGAUAUUUUGGAAUAAUAUAUAGUUGAAUUAAUUAACUUAUUUAUUUGACUCAUUAAACUAUAUUAUUUGACUGAUUGCAUUUGACUGACCAAUUGUUAUAAUUAUGCUUCUUUAAAUUGGGAUCUUUAUAAACCAGGCAUAUUACAAAAUGUGUCAAAGAAAAUAUGAAGCCAUAACAUAAAUAUGGUUUAGCUUUUUAAAAAUUUUUUUUAUUACUCAAAUGAAUUUAUCACAUCUGUAGUUGUAUAAUGACCAUUACAAUCCAAUUUCACAGGAUUUACAUCCCACAGCCCAAGCACAUCCCCCUACCCCCCAAAAUGUCUCCUCCAGAGACCAUAAGUUUUUCAAUGUCUGUGAGCCAGCAUCUGUUCUGCAAAGAAGUUCAGUCUGUCCUUUUUCCAGAUUCCACAUGUCAGUGAAAGCAUUUGAUGUUGGUGUCUUAUUGUAUGACUGACUUCACUUAGCAAGAUAAUAUCUAGGUCCAUCCAUGUGGCUAAAAUUGCUGGUAUUUUGUUCCUUUUAAUGGCUGAGUAAUAUUCCAUUGUGUUUACGUACCAUUUCUUCUUGAUCCACUCCUCUGUUGAUGAACAUUUCGGUUGUUUCUAUGACUUGGCUAUUGAAAACAGUGCUGCAACAAACAUUGGAGUACAUGUGUCUUUGUGAGUCAAGAUUUUCUCUGGAUAGAUGCUCAGGAGUGGGAUUGCUACAUCAAAUGGGAGUUCCAUUUUUAGUUUUCUGAGGUAUCUCUAUACUGUUUUCCACAGUGGUUGCACCAAUUUACAAUCCAACCAAGAGUGUAAUAGGGUUCCUUUUUUUCCACACCCUCUCCAACACUUAUUGUUUGUAGACUUUUUGAUGAUGACCAUCUGGCUUGUGUAAGGUGAUACCUCAUGUUUGUUUUUAUUUGCAUUUCUCUAAUCAUGAGUGAUGUUUAACACCUUUUCAUGUGUUCUUUGGCCAUCUGUAUGUCUUCUUUGGAGAAAUGCCUGUUUAGAUCUUCUGCCCAUUUUUUGAUGGGGUUGUUUGUUUUUUUGGUAUGGAGCUGCAGAAGGUGUUCAAAAUUUUGGAGAUUAAUCCCUUGUCAGUUGAUUCAUUUGCAAAGAUGUUCUCCCAUUCUGAGGCAUAGCUUUUUAAAAAUUUAGUUUGAAUAUUUUAAGGAGAAACUAACUUUUAUUUAUUUAUUAUUUAUUUUAUGACUGCACCUACAGCAUAUUGAAGUUCCCAGGUUAGGGAUUGAACCUGAAGUCACAGCUGUGGCAUCAUUGGAUCUUUUAAUCCACUAUGCUAGGCUGGGGAUCAAACCCACACCUCCACAACUACUCAAAUCUCUACAGUCAGAUUCGUAACACACUGCACUGCAGAAAGAACUCCAAGGAGAAACCAUUUAUAAUUUAGUUUCAGUUGAUAAAUUUAAAAAUGAUUAAAUUAAAAGAUAACUUCAGAAAAAUUAGAAUCAUCUACAGAUGAGUAAAAGUGUAGUGAGUAAAAUUUUGAUAAAUAACAACACAUACAUAUCACCAAAUGUCACCUACAACAUACUUUUAGUUAUGCAGAGGGAAAAGUAUAACUAAUAAUUUGUCAUUAAACUACCUUAACCACAUAAUCAAAGUUAACAUCCAAUAAUGAGACAAACCAAAAUCAAGAGCCUCUUAAUAUAGUACACUGGGAAGAAUAAAACAUUGCUUCUUUCUUAUGCUUGCCAAAAUUAUACACUGUAAUAUUACCACAAGGAAAUAUGGCUGGAAAUAUUGAAAAGAAGACAAAGUCCAUAAAGGCAUGAAAGUUUGUGAAAUUUUACAUAGUAGAAAAGAAUAAAGAGAAGAGACAUGAAGACAGGAUACAACAUUUUGUGAAGGAUUAUGAAAUUUAUUUUAGUUUUCAUUCUUUUUGCUACAGAGUACAUUAAUGGGAUAAUUAAGGUGUAUUUUUAAAAUGUUUGUAGAAUAGGUAAUAGUUUUAGGUGAGCAUAAAUGUCCUUACUUUUGUAAUUAUAAUAUGGCUAUGUAAGCAAAUAUCUUUGUUCUUAAUAAAAAAUGGAAAUAUUUUUAGGCAUGUGGACCAUGUAACUGCAAUUUAUACUAUAUUAACUCAAAAAUAUUGUGAUUGUUGGAGUUCCUGUCAUGGCACAGCAGAAGCAAAUCUGACUAGGAACCAUGAGGUUGUCGGUUUGAUCCCUGAUCUUGCUCAGUGGGUUCAAGAUCCUGCAUUGCCAUGAACUGCGGUGUAGGUCACAGAUGCAGCUCAGAUUUGGGGUUUCUAAGACCCUGGCAUAGGCCAGCGGCUACAGCUCCAAUUAGACCAAUAGCCUGGGAACCCCCAUUUGCAAUGGGUGUGGCCCUAAAAGGACAAAAAGACAAAAAAAAAUAUAUUAUGCAUAGGAUUGAAUUUAAUUUGUGAAAAUUUGAGUGUCUAAUUUGGUGUUGGUUUUCCCCAAAGAGAUUUUGCAUUUGCCUCUACCUGGAAAUAAUAUCACCUCUCUUAUCUGUCAGUGUCCACAGCAUUACCUGCAGGAAAUAUUUUCAAAUUCCCCCGCCUACCUCUGGCAAUACUAAUUCUGAAAUUUCUCUCAGGCCACUCUAAGUUUCUAUGUUUAAUUGAAUUUCACUUAUCAAUUUUGUUAUUUAAUAGUUAAUUAAAUGUCCAGCAUAGGACACUUUCCAAAUACACUUCUGCAUUUCCUUGUAUUUGUUAAGUAUUUUAUAUUUAGUUAUAUAAAGUACUUCAUUUAAUAAAAGUACUUCAUUUAAUAUUAAGUACUUGGUUGUCAAAACUGAGAAGAGUCUGAAAUUUUAUAAUAUUUCUAGUUUAUAAAUUAGUCUUCAUUGAUUAAUUCAUGGAUGUUGGUAGAAUACUCAAGAUCUCUAACAAAGAAACAAAGGGAGUUUAUUAUUUUUAGCAAAAGCAAUAGUGAUUUGUACCAUUUGUGUCAGUUCCACAAGUAACCAUUUCUAUAGGGCUAUAUGCAGAAGGAUAAGCAAGGAGAAGUUUGUAUUGCAGGAGGAAAAAUUGAGCUUAACUUUCAAUAAUGUGCAGUGAGCAUGUCUGUUAUUUUCUCUAGAGGAAGACACUCUCCGAAGAUGGUAAUCAAAACUAUUCUUUUCUGGAAGGAGAUGCUCAUGAUCUCUCUAUUCUCAGGCUAUUUAUAAUAAAGUUAUAAUUGAGAAGAUAGUCUGGAAUAAAAAUAAUAAAUGACUUCUCAUAAAUUAUGUAGAGACAUGAAAGACUGAUGAAAAAAUUUCUCCCAACAAUAUGCACAUAAAAUGUAUUCAAUUUCCUGGCUUCUGCAGCAUUUUUCUGAACAUGCCACUUUGUUGGUAUCUGAUUAAUCUGAUGAAAAUUGGUUGUCAACUUGUCUCAUUCAGAAUUUACUUGAGGUUAUUACCAAUGAAAUUCCCAGUAUAAGGAAGAGUCUCAACAAUGUCUACAAAAAUUCCAUACAAACCUCUGUAAAUUUCAUAAAAAAGCAGGAUCUACUUUAUGAAUCCAAGUGGAUUUAUCCUUAAGUUUCUAUAUUGACCUAUCUUCCCUGAGACAUUAAUCCAUGCAUAGUAGGACUACUACUGUCUUGCUCCCCAAAGGAAGCGUCCAUAACAAAUGUACCAUAGAGCAAUAAGGCUGAAUAAAUUAUUUUGAAGACAGAGAUUUUAUUAUUGAUCACCUUUUAUAACUGACUCUCAUAGUAAAGACCUCUGCAUUCAGUGUCAACAUAAAUAACAUAACCAUUAUCUCACUGCAAAGCUGCCACAAUGAACCAAGGGUAGCCUUAUUUUAGAUCAUAGUUUAAAGGAUCAAUUUGGAUAUCUGAAUCUAGUGUCUGUUUUGGUGACAAUUAUCUGAGAACAAUUGACCCAACUUGACUUUUUUGUCCACACUUUCAAUAGAGCAGUAUUAACUUGCUCCAUGAUUGAGCAAAGACUAUGAAAAUAAGGGGUGGGGAGACAUCCUAACAUCUUUCAGGUGUUUUCCAAGAGAGAUUAAGGAGCUGGGUGUAUUCUCUGCUAUUUCUGAUUGAUACUCAAGAAAUGUUGAUGACAAGACAAACAGAACAUGGUCAGAGAAGUCUGGCAAUGAAUGUUAAAUUAAGUAGAUUUUUAAAAAAAAAUUAAGUUUAAAUAGUGUCUACUGGUGAAACUGACAGUAUUAACAUCCUGAACCUAGCCAGAACACAGGUUGGGACUUGAACCCAUGUGCCGGGACUCGAACCCAGCCUAAACCCAGAUUGAGAUUUAAACCCAAAAUUUUAAAUUAGAAUCACUCACCCUGUGUAUGAACUCACUGAGGUUCAGGUUCUUCAUGUCUCUGCACAGAAGAAAUUCAGUGAGAGAAAAAGUGAUAGGCAAGAAAUUGAUUUAUUAGGAUAGGAUGCUUUUGAGAGAUGCAAGUGGGAAGGUGAGGAGGCUCUGCCCCAAGGAUUCUAGGAUCUGGUGGGCUAUAGUUUUAUCCUCCAAGGGGAGCGGAGGUUGGAAAAGCCCACCUCUUCUUUUCUGGGAGUAGCAGCUCCUCCUUGGAAUCUGGUAAGUUGUGUAUUCAAAUCAGCCAAAGGCAGUCCUCAAAUUCCUGCCCUUGGUCUGAAUCUCAUCCCAUCCCCCACCAAAUGACCUGAGGCAAUUCUUUCACUUCCAAUAGUCAGGCAAACCUGCCUUCUUUUGAUGGCUUUUUUGAGGAAUUUAUUUACUUACAGUGAUCUCCAGUGUCCCUAAGUUUCCAUCAUUAUCUGUAGUCCUUUACUGUAGGACUCCUAACACUACCUGUGCAUACUCCAUCCCUAUCACUGGGACUGUAGUAAUGAUGAACAAUUCUGACUCCAUAUUAUAUAUGUUCUGUUGCUUGCAGUUAGUCAUACUGGCUCUGCAGUUUUUGUAAAAGAAUGUUGCCUAUCCUGAAGUAUAC
ensembl:lncRNA